CUGUUAUUAGAGACAUGUGUCCCAGACUGCUAUCAGAAACUCUGAGUGCUUCCUGAUGAAUUCAAAGAUAUAAUAUUAUGUUUAAAACCAAUGUGGCUAAUGAGAUACUGUGCACUGAAAUUUAGAACAGUCAUCUAUAGAUGGCAUGACUGGAAUUUUAGGAGCUUGUCCAAUGUCCAAUUUCCAAGUCCAGAGAAGCAUGGCUCUGCUGGAUAACUCCCCAAAGGGAAUAACAGCUAAUGUCCCUUGCAUUACCUAUACAUUACCUGAAAGUUUCUUAAGGCAUUUAAUUUGUCUAUGAACUUGGACAAAGAAACCCAUCAAGGAGCAUUUUAUCCCAGAGUAUACUGUUUUCAUGAGCUGUGUGUUUAUUGGCUUGGUACCAGUUAAAUCGUAGCACAAGCAUCUAACAUUUCAGGAAAGUGGGAUGCUCUAGCAGUACUAUAAAUACCCACUCACUAUAGGAAAGAAAGCCCUCACAGGCAUAUCAUCUUUCUCCUGUUCUAUUUGGACAUUACAUGUUAAGACCCUUGUACAUUUUGCACUUAAUGCAGGGAAAUGUGAAGUCCUUCUGUACUGGCUGGUUUUGUGUGUCAACAUGACAUAGGUUGCAGUUAUCACAGAGAAAGGAGCCUCAGUUGGAGAAGUGCCUCCAUGAGAUCCAGCUGUGGGGCAUUUUCUCACUUGGUGAUCAAGGGGAGAGGGCCCAUUAUGUGUGGUGCUAUCCCUGGGCUAGUAGUCUUGGGUUCUAUAAGAGAGAAAGCUGAGCAAGCCAGGGUAGCAAGCCAGUAAACAACAUCUCUCCAUGGCCUCUGCAUCAGCUCCUGCUUCCUGACCUGCUUGAGUUCCAGUCCUGACUUCCUUUGCUGAUCAACAGUAACAUAGACAUGUAAGCUGAAUAAACCCUUUCCUCCCCAACUUGAUUCUUGAACAUGAUGUUUGUGCAGGGAUAGAAGCCCUGACUAAGACACCCUCUAACAGUAACCAAGCACUUGUUCUGGUACAAUUGCUUCUAAUCAUGAAAAUUAUCAAAUUCAGUCCACAUGACCAACCCAUGAGCUGAGUACUAGAGUAGCUAUCUAGAGGAAGCAUGCUCACUGAGAGAAGACACUUGGGCACCAAGACUAGCUGCUGAGUAUUAUGACUAAUUGUACAGAAAUUUGAAUGUGAACUUAUAGUUUUUAAUGAUGUUGGCAUCAAGGAGGAAAUGCAGACAUGGGAAUAUGUAAUGUUCUUCUCCCUCCCAUUUCUGUGUAGAGUAGCUAACCAGGCUGAGCUGAGCUGGAAAGCAAUCAGGAUUCCUUGCUGUUUUAAGCAAAGGAUAAAUAACAAUAGGGGCCAGUCUGUUGAAGAAUUUAGGAACAAGCUCCUUUCUAACAGGGAGGAAGAGUAAAGGCCAAGGCCAUUGGUUUGGCCGUCAACCCUCCCCUCUCCAAACACACACACACACACACACACACACACACACACACACACACACACUAUACAUACCAGGGAAAUGUUGAGAGAUUCUUCACAUACAUCUGACUUCCUAUGUCCUCAUUGGAUUUAUCUCAUAUAUAUGAUGAAGAAGUGAUGUGGCUUUCGUAUUGAAUCUCCUGAGAAAUAGUGUAAAAGUCUGAAGAAGCAGUCACGGUUAAGUCCAUUUGCUAAGGGAGAAAACAAGCACAUAAAAUGUAAUUAAACAUUUUCUGAACUCUUCUCCGUUUUCUUCCUAAACCAUGUAAGAUACUACAAGAUACUUUCCCCUG
rnacentral:lncRNA from 1 species